CAAUUCCCUAAUGACCUAUGUUGUUGAACAUAUUUCCUAUGCUUACUUGCCAUCUAUAUCUUCCUUGAUAAGGAAAUAGGUGACUUGCGGCCAGGCACGGAGGCUCACGCAUGUAAUCCCUGCACUUUGGGAGGCCGAAGCGGGCGGAUCACGAUGUCAACAGAUCAAGACCAUCCUGGCCAACAUGAACAUGCUUCUAGAACUUUCAUCUAUUAUGAAAAAAUAAUGCAUCAGGAGCAGCUGGUACCUGCAGGAGGAGAGUUGUGCCUUUGUCAGCUCAAACUGCAGGAAGCGCUUUGGGACCCACACCCUCUACAGACACCCACCAGGCGAAGGGCCCUGUUCAGGGUGCUCCCAGCCUGGGCUCACUUCCACAGGAGACCCUUCCCUUAUGGGGGCUGGGGACAGGUUCUCACCCUGCCUGGGCACACUGCUUGAGGGAGGUCUGAUGCUCGGGCAGGGAGGAGCUGUACACCGUCAGAGGAGAUCUAGGGACAAGAGCGGCUCUGCCUCGAGGAGGAGGAUUGGUAUAUGUCACCUCUUCCCCAGUCCCAGCACAGCCUAGUGGGAUAUUUUGCAAGACAGUACCCCAGCUCUGCAGUGGCAGCAACAGUAGCAGUUGGCCCCUUAAACAUGGGUCCAGAGCAGGACUGGAGCUUUGUGCUCAGCCUGAGGUCAGAUGUGCUUCCUGUCUAUAAAGGAGAGGUUGACAAGAAACUUUUCAGGCUUUUCCUCUCACCAGUUCAUUUCUUGAGGAUGAACCAGUUGGAUUUUUAAUUCAUCAAUGGCAUGGAAAUAAAAUAUUGAUUAAAACACUGGCAAACACUCGCAUGCCUUUUUUGUAUCCCUCUGGGAUGAUUCAUGA
rnacentral:lncRNA from 10 species